ensembl:lncRNA
UUCCUUUAACUCCUCGGGCCUGGGGGGGGGGGGCUUCUUGCUGUUUUAUACCUUUCCUUUUUUUUCCCUUCUUCUUCCUCCCUUUUUUUCAGACGCAUUUUUUUUCUUUCUUUCCCUUCUUUCCCCCCCUCUCUUUCCCCCCUUUUUCCUUCCGGCUUCGGCAACCGGGAGCGGCGGGGUUCGUGCACGCGGUGCUGCGCUCGCACCCCGCGGCCGCACAGGGGCCGUACCCGGCUGAUCGCGGGGGGGGGGUCCGGCAUCCCUUCGCCCCCGCGCCCGCAGCGCCGUGUUCCUCGCGUGAGAGCCUGUGAUCAGCGCCGGCCUCUCUGGGAAGCAACACCAGUCUCGUUCCAGAAGAACAAAAUAACAGCGUGAGGCUGAAACCUGGCACGGACCGGGGGAACGCGGCCAUCUGCCCCGCACCGCACGGAGCCCCGCGGCCGCGGAGCGGGCGGAGGGCGCAGAGCUCCGGUGCUGCCCUCCUCCUCCUCCUCCUCCCCUCCCUUCCUCGCUCCUUUCCCCGCUCCAUCCCUUCUUAGGGAAAAGCGGUUGAAAGGAGAAAGGCAGAGAGCACGAAUGGGUGCCCUCCCCGCGCUGCGUUGCCGGGGGUAUGGCCAGUGUGAUGGAAACAAGGCCUGCCAGCUGGAUACAACUUUCAGAGAGCUGGUGGUGAAGUUCUGCUUUUCCAGCAUAUUGUUCUUUCAAGUCAAGGAAGGUGUGCAUUGAUCAUCACUGAGUCGUCAUUGUCAGACCUUCCAAAGUGAGGAGAAAGCUGUGCAAAAUGAGUGGACAUUAAUCUAGCAACCUGCCUCUCUUUGUGCCUCAGCUCACUGGCAGUAAUGUGAGGUUAAUGAUACACCCUCAUUCCACAGGUUCAUUAUCAGAAAUAAGGUAAUUAACAUCUGUGAAUGGCGCUAAUUUAAGAGUGGAGAAGGCCAAAGAGAAGGCUAUGAGAAAAUUAUUAUUUCCA